GACGAACGCUGGCGGCGUGCCUAAUACAUGCAAGUCGAGCGAGACUCUUCGGAGUCUAGCGGCGGACGGGUGAGUAACACGUGGGCAACCUGCCUGUAAGACUGGGAUAACACCGGGAAACCGGUGCUAAUACCGGAUAAUCCUUUUCCUCUCAUGAAGAAAAGCUGAAAGUCGGUUUCGGCUGACACUUACAGAUGGGCCCGCGGCGCAUUAGCUAGUUGGUGAGGUAACGGCUCACCAAGGCGACGAUGCGUAGCCGACCGGAGAGGGUGAUCGGCCACACUGGGACUGAGACACGGCCCAGACUCCUACGGGAGGCAGCAGUAGGGAAUCUUCCACAAUGGACGAAAGUCUGAUGGAGCAACGCCGCGUGAGCGAUGAAGGCCUUCGGGUCGUAAAGCUCUGUUGUUAGGGAAGAACAAGUACCGGAGUAACUGCCGGUACCUUGACGGUACCUAACCAGAAAGCCACGGCUAACUACGUGCCAGCAGCCGCAGUAACAC
rnacentral:rRNA from 1 species